rnacentral:pre_miRNA from 1 species
AAAAAGACAAACCCUGGUUUUCGUGCCUAACGUUUGACCGUUCGUCUUAUUUGAAAAAAUUAUGAAAAAAAUUAAAAAGACAAGUCACGCAUAAAAUAUUAAUCAUGUUUUAUCAUCUAACAACAAUAAAAAUACGAAUUAUAAAAAAAUUUCAUAUAAGACGGACAGUCAAAGUUGGACACAGAAACCUAGGGUUUGCCUUUUU